rnacentral:rRNA from 1 species
AUGGCACUUACAAGUUACAAGGUGACAUCUUUCGAGUACAAGAAUGAUGAAGCCAUAGUGGCUUUCAACCCAGCUACUUUGGAGAUAUCUUGUUCAUGCAAAUUGUAUGGUUGUGUAGGUAUAUUGUGCAAGCACGCUCAUAAGGUUUUCACAUGCUGCAAUAUCAUCAUCCUGCCAAGUCAGUACAUAUCGAACAGAUGGACGAAGUAUGCAAAACAAGAAAUUUUUACAUCAAAACUGAAUUGCAAUGAUAGCUUAGAAUCCAUGUUUGCACAUACUUCUCGAAAGAUGAUUUCACUUGCAUUGAAGUGCAAAACAUCAAAGGAGGUUCUUACACAUCUCAACAAUGGUAUUGAUAAGUUGGCUUUGGAAGCACUAGAAUUACUUAGCAAUUUGAGCUAA